ACAAAAAAGGUGGGGCCAAUUAUCGUUUCCACCCGUUUACAGGAAAUGAAUUUUUAAAAUCACUCACGUAUGUGGGAUGUACAUGUGAAUCCACCACAUGCAUGUGGACGUCACAAGGCCACUUUAAAAGAAAGCGGAUUCAAAAAUAUCGAGAUACGUGUUGACGGGUCAUAAACAUUAUACCGACUGUAUGAAUACAAGUGAUCAAAUUGCAUUAAACCAUUCAGUCAAUGCCAAUCAUCCCAGAGACAAGAAAUUAGAACAGUUGAUUAAACUGUCUGAGAUCUCACUAUGGUACUCUCACGAUAUUUCCAAAACGUCUAUCCUUCCUUUAUUUACGGAUUCCUUAUUCUUACAAGUUUGAUCUCAGUAUAUCCAGUGACCAAUACUGGUGAUUUUUUGGAAACGCGCAAUUCGACUCAACCAAAUCAUAUAAAUAACUCAAGGAAUUCAUCUGGUUUACGCAAUCAAAGUGCUAUCCGCUUAACAUACUAAAACAAGGAAGGAGGAUUACAAUCUUAAGCUUAUGCAUAGCUGAUUUUACUGCAACUUUAUCACAAUUCAUGAUUGUUGGAUUGGGUAGAUUGUUCGAGGUCAAACCAUCAGAAGCUGUCAUUUAUUCUGUCCUUUUCUUUUGGAUUGCGGGCUCAUUUUUUCACUUGACAUCACUCACAUGGCAAACUUACAUGAUUGCAAAGUAUCCCAAAUACAGACAACAAAUGUUAUCUACGAAGAAAAUUUACAUAUUAUGCGCCACAGUUUGGUUGAUUGCCAUUUGCAUGGCAUUUGGUGAACUCACAUCAAUUUUUGUCGAGAAAUUUGACCACGUUAUGUACACUUAUAUCACGCUAUAUGCCGUUUUGGAGAUUGCUGUUUUGAUCCAGGUUAUUGGGAAGUGUUUAAUACUUAUAGUAGUAUGGCAAAAUCAAUAAAACACGACAGUAAAUGCUAAACAGCAGAAUAGAAAACAUCUGGAAAUGGUAAAGACAAUUAUCUUGCUAAAUAUCCUAUUACUGGUAACUGCGUUUCCUUUUUUUGUGGCCAAACAAGUGGAGUUUAUUCAAAGGCUUGGAAAAAUACAAAGUGAAUUGGCUGGGCGUUUUUCUUACUACUACGAACCAGUCGCCAAGGUGAAUUUCGCUGUCAAUCCAAUUGUGUAUGCACUGAGGCUUCCCGAUUAUCGAAACAGUCUGAAGGCGUUGUUUAAAAAGAACAGUUUUAUUUCUACUGAUACAGCACAGCAAUCGACAACCUCGUUCCGUUCUGCUGAUGAAACGAUUGCUUUGUAGAUAAUAUGCGUUGAUUAAUAUGCAUUUAUAAUCAUAUAUAACUUGAUUACAAAUAUAUAUAAUGAUUAUGUUUUUAAUAUAGGUAAUAACAUAAACUUUAGUAGAAUUUGUAGUUAUACUUUUGUGUAAUUUUUAGUGUAAUGUUUGGAUUUGUAGCCAAUUUAGCCUGCAACAAACUAUUUUGAUAACCACAUCAAAACAUAGUACAAUAUCGUAUCUAAUAA